rnacentral:tRNA from 1 species
GGAGAGAUGCGAGAGUGGUUGAAUCGGCCGGUCUCGAAAACCGUGAGCCCGAAAGGGCACGGGGGUUCGAAUCCCCCUCUCUCCG